ACUCAAAUGAAUUGACGGGGACCCGCACAAGCAGUGGAGUAUGUGGUUUAAUUCGAAGCAACGCGAAGAACCUUACCAGGUCUUGACAUCCCUCUGAAUCCUCUAGAGAUAGAGGCGGCCUUCGGGACAGAGGAGACAGGUGGUGCAUGGUUGUCGUCAGCUCGUGUCGUGAGAUGUUGGGUUAAGUCCCGCAACGAGCGCAACCCUUGAGCUUAGUUGCCAGCACGUAAUGGUGGGCACUCUAAGCUGACUGCCGGUGACAAACCGGAGGAAGGCGGGGAUGACGUCAAAUCAUCAUGCCCCUUAUGACCUGGGCUACACACGUACUACAAUGGCCGGUACAACGGGUCGCGAAGCCGCGAGGCGGAGCUAAUCCUAUCAAAGCCGGUCUCAGUUCGGAUUGCAGGCUGCAACUCGCCUGCAUGAAGUCGGAAUUGCUAGUAAUCGCGGAUCAGCAUGCCGCGGUGAAUACGUUCCCGGGUCUUGUACACACCGCCCGU
rnacentral:rRNA from 1 species